AAAUUGAAGAGUUUGAUCAUGGCUCAGAUUGAACGCUGGCGGCAGGCCUAACACAUGCAAGUCGAACGGUAACAGGAAGCAGCUUGCUGCUUCGCUGACGAGUGGCGGACGGGUGAGUAAUGUCUGGGAAACUGCCUGAUGGAGGGGGAUAACUACUGGAAACGGUGGCUAAUACCGCAUAACGUCGCAAGACCAAAGAGGGGGACCUUCGGGCCUCUUGCCAUCAGAUGUGCCCAGAUGGGAUUAGCUAGUUGGUGAGGUAACGGCUCACCAAGGCGACGAUCCCUAGCUGGUCUGAGAGGAUGACCAGCCACACUGGAACUGAGACACGGUCCAGACUCCUACGGGAGGCAGCAGUGAGGAAUAUUGCACAAUGGGCGCAAGCCUGAUGCAGCCAUGCCGCGUGUAUGAAGAAGGCCUUCGGGUUGUAAAGUACUUUCAGCGGGGAGGAAGGUGUUGUGGUUAAUAACCACAGCAAUUGACGUUACCCGCAGAAGAAGCACCGGCUAACUCCGUGCCAGCAGCCGCGGUAAUACGGAGGGUGCAAGCGUUAAUCGGAAUUACUGGGCGUAAAGCGCACGCAGGCGGUCUGUCAAGUCGGAUGUGAAAUCCCCGGGCUCAACCUGGGAACUGCAUUCGAAACUGGCAGGCUUGAGUCUUGUAGAGGGGGGUAGAAUUCCAGGUGUAGCGGUGAAAUGCGUAGAGAUCUGGAGGAAUACCGGUGGCGAAGGCGGCCCCCUGGACAAAGACUGACGCUCAGGUGCGAAAGCGUGGGGAGCAAACAGGAUUAGAUACCCUGGUAGUCCACGCCGUAAACGAUGUCUACUUGGAGGUUGUGCCCUUGAGGCGUGGCUUCCGGAGCUAACGCGUUAAGUAGACCGCCUGGGGAGUACGGCCGCAAGGUUAAAACUCAAAUGAAUUGACGGGGGCCCGCACAAGCGGUGGAGCAUGUGGUUUAAUUCGAUGCAACGCGAAGAACCUUACCUGGUCUUGACAUCCACAGAAGAAUCCAGAGAUGGAUUUGUGCCUUCGGGAACUGUGAGACAGGUGCUGCAUGGCUGUCGUCAGCUCGUGUUGUGAAAUGUUGGGUUAAGUCCCGCAACGAGCGCAACCCUUAUCCUUUGUUGCCAGCGAUUAGGUCGGGAACUCAAAGGAGACUGCCAGUGAUAAACUGGAGGAAGGUGGGGAUGACGUCAAGUCAUCAUGGCCCUUACGACCAGGGCUACACACGUGCUACAAUGGCGCAUACAAAGAGAAGCGACCUCGCGAGAGCAAGCGGACCUCAUAAAGUGCGUCGUAGUCCGGAUUGGAGUCUGCAACUCGACUCCAUGAAGUCGGAAUCGCUAGUAAUCGUGGAUCAGAAUGCCACGGUGAAUACGUUCCCGGGCCUUGUACACACCGCCCGUCACACCAUGGGAGUGGGUUGCAAAAGAAGUAGGUAGCUUAACCUUCGGGAGGGCGCUUACCACUUUGUGAUUCAUGACUGGGGUGAAGUCGUAACAAGGUAACCGUAGGGGAACCUGCGGUUGGAUCACCUCCUUACCUUAAAGAA
rnacentral:rRNA from 1 species